AUGAAUGAAUCAUGUAUUUUUUUAUGCCUGUCAAUUUAUGCUCUGGACGACUGUAAUACAGGAUGCAUAUAUGUCACCGUCAACGCCUCUCUGAAAUCUGAAGUCUAUCUCCCAUGUCACUUUGAUAUAAACCAUUACAAUGGAACAUUGGCAGUGAAUUGGAGACGCCAUUCCACUAUUAAGAGUCUUGUUACGAUCAUGACUGAUGGCAAAAUCAUCUUUGGUAGUCCUAGUGAAGGACGAGUGAAUGUUUUUCCCCUUCUGUCUAAACAUGGAAACUUCUCUAUCCUCAUCCAUGAUCUGCAGUCUUCAGACAUUGGCACCUACAUUUGUGAGCUGAACAGUGAAUGCUGGAGGGUGAAAAUCAUUGAACAGUACAGAAUCAGUGAGUCAAACUCCUGGCUCUACUUUGCAGCUGGAGCUGGAUUGUUUAUUCUCCUUUUUAUUGCAUUUAGCCUGUUAUCAAAAUUCUGUGGAAAGUGUGUAGAUACAUCAUCCAAAUCGAAUCCAGUUAAUGGAGUACGGAGUGAAGGUAGUAAUUCCCCCGAAGAAACACAGAAUACAGAAAGCAGUGAGCAUAGAAACAAAAACAAGAGGGGUGUGAGGAGGGGCCCUACAACUGUUUAUGAAAAUGACAUACAUGCUCCAAAUCAAAGUUCUGCUGUGCAGCCGGGGCAACAUCCUCAAAGAGGUGAAUCAUCUUUUUUUUUUUUUUUUUUGAUUUAUUAUAUUAGCUACUUUACAUGAUAAAUGAUGCAAAUCUAAUUUUGAAAAAACAGCCUUUAGAGCCGUUCCCGAGCCAACAAGAAGUCAUCCUUCGGAUGCAAAACCAUACUACGGUAAGACAAUAUUUGUGCUCGAAAAAAAAAAACAGAUUAACUGCAUGUGCUAAGAAUGAAACUAAUUCGAACAUCUGUUUGAAAUUUUUCAGUCAACCAGGCGGAGCUCUUCAUUCCAGUAAAUGCUGGCAAAAAACGGAAAAAACUAAAACGUGAUUACUUUUCAUUGUUCUGAAUUAAACGUCAUUUAUUUUGCAUAUAAAUGAAGGUUUAUUAAGGCACUUUUUUAUAUCAAUUACUGUAGCUACUGUAGUGUAAUUAUAUGGUUUUCUUUCAUUUCUCUGACAGAAAAUGUGUAUAAAAAUCCAAUAUAUGGAGACUGAAGUGAGACAGUGACAGCAGAAUAAUACAUGUUUCAAUCAGCAUAACAAAAUUGUUCAUUAUAAACAGUUCAAUAUCUCAAUAAAUUCUGAUGUUUAAUGAUUCA
ensembl:lncRNA